GACGGAGGAUGCAAGCGUUAUCCGGAAUGAUUGGGCGUAAAGCGUCCGCAGGUGGCAGUUCAAGUCUGCUGUCAAAGACCGGGGCUUAACUUCGGAAAGGCAGUGGAAACUGAACAGCUAGAGUAUGGUAGGGGCAGAGGGAAUUCCUGGUGUAGCGGUAAAAUGCGUAGAGAUCAGGAAGAACAUCGGUGGCGAAGGCGCUCUGCUGGACCAUAACUGACACUCAGGGACGAAAGCUAGGGGAGCGAAUGGG
rnacentral:rRNA from 1 species